rnacentral:rRNA from 1 species
CCCUUAGAUGUUCUGGGCUGCACGCGCGCGACAAUGACGUUUGCAACGAGAUUGCGAGGCCGUCAGGUCGAGCUGAUCUUGCAAGCUGCGUCGUGAUAGGGACAGUCGAUUGCAAUUAUUCGACUCGAACGAGGAAUUCCUUGUAAUCGCGCAUCAUCAGUGCGCGCUGAAUACGUCCCUGCCCUUUGUACACACCGCCCGUCGCUCCUACCGAUUGAGUGAUCCGGUGAGGCUCUGGGACCUGGACGGAAAGAGCGUUUCGCUUGUUCUGUUUGGGAAACUUGGUCGAACCUUAUCAUUUAGAGGAAGGAGAAGUCGUAACA